CCAGACUCCUACGGGAGGCAGCAGUAGGGAAUCUUCGGCAAUGGACGGAAGUCUGACCGAGCAACGCCGCGUGAGUGAAGAAGGUUUUCGGAUCGUAAAGCUCUGUUGUAAGAGAAGAACGAGUGUGAGAGUGGAAAGUUCACACUGUGACGGUAUCUUACCAGAAAGGGACGGCUAACUACGUGCCAGCAGCCGCGGUAAUACGUAGGUCCCGAGCGUUGUCCGGAUUUAUUGGGCGUAAAGCGAGCGCAGGCGGUUAGAUAAGUUUGAAGUUAAAGGCUGUGGCUUAACCAUAGUACGCUUUGGAAACUGUUUAACUUGAGUGCAAGAGGGGAGAGUGGAAUUCCAUGUGUAGCGGUGAAAUGCGUAGAUAUAUGGAGGAACACCGGUGGCGAAAGCGGCUCUCUGGCUUGUAACUGACGCUGAGGCUCGAAAGCGUGGGGAGCAAACAGGAUUAGAUACCCUGGUAGUCCACGCCGUAAACGAUGAGUGCUAGGUGUUAGACCCUUUCCGGGGUUUAG
rnacentral:rRNA from 1 species